GGCCUUGUUGUUGAGUUGGCUAGAGCUUUGGCUCUACGGAAGCCUUCCCCUUGCUGACGUGGGUUCGAAUCCCACCGAGGCCG
rnacentral:tRNA from 1 species